rnacentral:piRNA from 1 species
UCCAACUCACUACCGGGAGACCUGGCUAU